rnacentral:tRNA from 1 species
CGCGGGGUGGAGCAGCUGGAAGCUCGUCGGGCUCAUAACCCGGAGGUCGUAGGUUCAAAUCCUACCCCCGCAACCA